ACCGGCUUUUUGGGAUUCGCUCCACCUUACGGUAUCGCAGCCCUCUGUACCGGCCAUUGUAGCAUGCGUGAAGCCCAAGACAUAAGGGGCAUGAUGAUUUGACGUCAUCCCCACCUUCCUCCGAGUUGACCCCGGCAGUCUCCCAUGAGUCCCCGGCAUAACCCGCUGGCAACAUAGGACGAGGGUUGCGCUCGUUGCGGGACUUAACCCAACAUCUCACGACACGAGCUGACGACAACCACGCACCACCUGUGUACGAGUGUCCAAAGAGAACCCCGUCUCGGGGGCUUUCUCGUACAUGUCAAGCCUUGGUAAGGUUCUUCGCGUUGCAUCGAAUUAAUCCGCAUGCUCCGCCGCUUGUGCGGGCCCCCGUCAAUUCCUUUGAGUUUUAGCCUUGCGGCCGUACUCCCCAGGCGGGGCACUUAAUGCGUUAGCUGCGGCACGGAACUCGUGGAAUGAGCCCCACACCUAGUGCCCAACGUUUACGGCAUGGACUACCAGGGUAUCUAAUCCUGUUCGCUCCCCAUGCUUUCGCUCCUCAGCGUCAGUUGCGGCCCAGAGACCUGCCUUCGCCAUCGGUGUUCCUCCUGAUAUCUGCGCAUUCCACCGCUACACCAGGAAUUCCAGUCUCCCCUACCGCACUCUAGUCUGCCCGUACCCGAUGCAAGCCCGAGGUUGAGCCUCGGGAUUUCACACCAGACGCGACAGACCGCCUACGAGCUCUUUACGCCCAAUAAUUCCGGACAACGCUUGCGCCCUACGUAUUACCGCGGCUGCUGGCACGUAGUUAGCCGGCGCUUCUUCUGCAGGUACCGUCACUUGCGCUUCUUCCCUGCUGAAAGAGGUUUACAACCCGAAGGCCGUCAUCCCUCACGCGGCGUCGCUGCAUCAGGCUUGCGCCCAUUGUGCAAUAUUCCCCACUGCUGCCUCCCGUAGGAGUCUGGGCCGUGUCUCAGUCCCAGUGUGGCCGGUCGCCCUCUCAGGCCGGCUACCCGUCGACGCCUUGGUAGGCCAUCACCCCACCAACAAGCUGAUAGGCCGCGAGCCCGUCCCCCACCGAAAAACUUUCCAACCCACACCAUGCGAUGCGAGCUCAUAUCCGGUAUUAGACCCCGUUUCCAAGGCUUAUCCCGAAGUGGAGGGCAGGUUGCUCACGUGUUACUCACCCGUUCGCCACUGAUCCACCCAGCAAGCUGGGCUUCAC
rnacentral:rRNA from 1 species